rnacentral:lncRNA from 1 species
AUAGUAGCCGUGUUUUCCCUGCUCGUUUCUCUCCUGCGUGGUGUGUGCUUCAUCGCCCUGAAGAUCUCUCUGCUUGACAGGGCAGUGAAGGGGACAGAAGCAGAGCGGGGACCCAAGAGCCUGAGGACACCUGGAGCGGGGGAGGCUGACCACUUCCGAGGCUGACCUUCAGGACCCUGACCCCGGGCUGCCGUCCCUCGGGUUUCCUUCCCAGCCGAGCGGCAGGCAGAGGAGCGGC